UAUUAGAGAAUCAGUGUCAUACUGAUUAUUUUGGACUACAGCUAUAUAGUUGUGCCACUGGUCGUACUGUAGACACCCGUGCAUCUGAGAAAAAAAAAGGUUUGCAAAAAAAAUCAAUUACCUAUCAGCUUUUGAAGUUAAACAGCAGAGCCCCCACCAGACUUGUGCUCAGACGUGUGUACCCAGCUAUUACAUGUGACAGGGUGACUUUUGACAAAGACCAAAGGUAUGGGCUGCGCAUCAAAGAGCAAGAGAGUAAAAUGUUUAUUUAUCUUAAGUAAUAAUAAAAAAAAAAUGUCAUGGGCGAUCCCGUCAGCGAUGUCACGUGUGUAGUCACGUGCCACGGCCCCUAACAAUCUCCGUGCGUAACAGGACUGGACAUCAGUACAACUUGGUAAAAGUCACAGGGAACAGUGUAGGAGAGAUGGGAGACCGCCUGAAAUAAGGAUUGACUGUCCCGUGGCCCCCGCUGCCAUACUGACAGGACAGUGAUAAACAGGAACACAUACAAAACAAGUCCGCAGAGCUGAAGUGCACAUGAAACAGCCUGGGAUAAAGCAGCAUUGUCUGCCGGCACCAUCCCCGGCGGACCAUCGUCAGACACUGGGAACCCGUCACACGCACAUCAGCUCGCACAAGUGCACAGACUUCUGAGGGACAUGGAGAAAGUGUCAAACAGUUAAUCUGUUAAAAUGCAUCUGAUUAUUUUUAUGCUCUGUUUUCCUAAAUAAAUUGUCGACAUCCCCAAUUCCCAUCCAUAACUCAUAUUAAAUCUACAGUUUUGCACAAUAUAUUCUGAUAUUAGAAGACAGGCUUGGUAUUUUCGGGACGAGUUUUUCCCCCAUAAUGUUUAUAUAUUUGCAUUUAUAAUGCAGAAUAUCUGCACCUAAUUCAUGACAAAUUACCAGACUUCUGAAACGGCACCAGAAGGUAUAAAAUGU